rfam:Abiotrophia defectiva ATCC 49176 genomic scaffold Scfld0, whole genome shotgun sequence.
AUAAGAGUAGGCAAUGGCGGCGUCAUGAAUCGAGUCAGGACCGGAAGGUAGCAGCUAUAAGUGACAAAGCCAUGUGCUUAUUUUUUUAUU